ACGCUCGACACCUACGGGAGGCAGCAGUGAGGAAUAUUGGUCAAUGGGCGCUAGCCUGAACCAGCCAAGUAGCGUGAAGGAUGAAGGCUCUAUGGGUCGUAAACUUCUUUUAUAUAAGAAUAAAGUGCAGUAUGUAUACUGUUUUGUAUGUAUUAUAUGAAUAAGGAUCGGCUAACUCCGUGCCUGCAGCCGCGGUAAUCUGAGCGGGCUGGCAAGGC
rnacentral:rRNA from 1 species